CUCUGACCCCCAGGAACCGGCUCCCCCCACCCAGGGCUCUGACCAUGUUUCUCUUUGUUUUUCAGGGCGCCCCGUUCCCCAACCUGCAGGGCUUCUGCAUUAGAUCCUGGGCGUCGGAUCCCCGGCCGGCAGGAGCUUCCGUCCAUCUCCCCCAGCCCCUCGCCCAGCCCGGAGAAUGCAGAACCUGGGGCCGGUCCCUUCCUGUCCCCGUCUGCUCCCCGCGCUCUGCCCGGCUCCAGCCCGCGCUGCCCCCGCCUGGGGACCCGUCCCUGCCCCUCAGUCCUAGCAGGGCCCUGGGGCAACCCCUCCUGCGUUAACCCUUUCCCUGCCCCAGCCCAGCCCCACGUUCCCUCUCGCUGACCCCGCUGCCCUCGGGGAACCUUUGGGGGACGCUGCUCUGCAACCUGGGGGGAGCCGGAGCGAGGCUGGGCGCUGUUAGAACUGCUACACCCUAAUAAACCAUCCCCAGCCCCCCA